CCUACGGGAGGCAGCAGUGGGGAAUAUUGGACAAUGGGGGAAACCCUGAUCCAGCGACGCCGCGUGAGUGAAGAAGUAUUUCGGUACGUAAAGCUCUAUCAGCAGGAAAGAAAAUGACGGUACCUGACUAAGAAGCCCCGGCUAACUACGUGCCAGCAGCCGCGGUAAUACGUAGGGGGCAAGCGUUAUCCGGAUUUACUGGGUGUAAAGGGAGCGUAGACGGCAGGGCAAGUCUGGAGUGAAAUGCCGGGGCUCAACCCCGGAACUGCUCUGGAAACUGUGAAGCUGGAGUGCAGGAGAGGUAAGCGGAAUUCCUGGUGUAGCGGUGAAAUGCGUAGAUAUCAGGAGGAACACCGGCGGGGAAGGCGGCUUACUGGACUGUAACUGACGUUGAGGCUCGGAGGCGUGGGGAGCAAACAGGAUUAGAUACCCGAGUAGUC
rnacentral:rRNA from 1 species